rnacentral:misc_RNA from 1 species
GGUUCCUUAAUAUUUGGUAAACAGAAGAUUUAACUGAGGAUUAACAAAUUGACCAAAUGCUUAUCUUAUUCUGUUCUUUGUAGGAGUACUUGCAGAUUUAUUCUAUCCAUAAUAGCGAGGAUUUUAUCGUUGAUUUUACUUUAUGGUGCUUCAUCUUGUAUAUAGAGAGUAUAAAAAAUGUGUUGCCCUAUUAUAUUAUUUUUUGGUUUCUCAUAGAGUUCUAUUUUUUGGUGAAUCGUUUGCUUGCAUUUCUUUUUAUAGAUCUAUUAGAGAUUGCAAUAUAUACGACUUAGUGUGUCACUGGAGGAAGUGUUACUUGUUGAAAAAUGGGUUUUUCUUUGAUAAAUUAGCUUUGUGUGCAUUUAUGUCUGUGGAUUUAGCUAUUAUGGUUUCUUGAUUUUUAGUGAAUUUGAUAAUUGAUACUGAAUCGACCUGGUAAUGGU